UACAGAGGGGGCGAGCGUUGUUCGGAAUUACUGGGCGUAAAGGGCGCGUAGGCGGCCCGCUAAGUCGAACGUGAAAUCCCCAGGCUCAACCUGGGAACUGCGUCCGAUACUGGCAGGCUUGAAUCCGGGAGAGGGAUGUGGAAUUCCAGGUGUAGCGGUGAAAUGCGCAGAUAUCGGGAGGAACACCAAUGGCGAAGGCAGCUCGCUGGGACGGUACCGACGUUCAGGCACGAAAGCGUGGGGAGCAAACAGGG
rnacentral:rRNA from 1 species